rnacentral:rRNA from 1 species
AGACGUCUACAUUAGAUACCCGCGUAGUCCCAGCCGUAAACUAUGCGCGUUAGGUGUAUCGGUGACCACGAGUCACCGAGGUGCCGAAGGGAAACCGUGAAACGUGCCGCCUGGGAAGUACGGUCGCAAGGCUGAACUUAAAGGAAUUGCGGGGAGCACCACAACGGGUGGAGCCUGCGGUUUAAUUGGACUCAACGCCGGGAAGCUCACCGGAUAAGACAGCGGAAUGAUUGCCGGGCUGAAGACUCUGCAUGACUAGCUG